CUGCUCGGUGACUUUUUAACAGCCGCAGUAUUUUGACUGUGCUAAGGUAGCAUAAUAAUUAGUCUUUUAAUUGAGGUCUGGAAUGAAUGGUUUGACGAAAAAAGAGCUUUUUUAAUAAGAUUUUUUUGAAUUUGUUUUUUCAGUAAAAAUUCUGAAAUUUUAAAGAGGGACGAUAAGACCCUAUAGAUCUUUAUAAUUCUUUUAUUUUAUUUUUUUUUGUUGUUUUUUUUUUUUUUAAAAGAUUUGUUUCGUUGGGGUGAUUAUUAAAAUUUUAAACUUUAAUUUUUUUUUACAUUUUUUAAUGUUUAUUUUGAUCUUUAUUUUUUGAUUAUAAGAACAAGAUACCUUAGGGAUAACAGCGUUAUAUAUUUGGAGAGUUCUAAUCGAUAAGUAUGUUUGCGACCUCGAUGUUGGAUUAAGGUUAAUUUGUGGGGUAGGUUCUACAUAAUUGG
rnacentral:rRNA from 1 species